GACAGGGUGGUCACGUGGUUGUCACGUGGUUCAUGUAAGCCUCAAUAGUUCCAAACACGCCGCGCAGUCAAUGUUAUUCUAUGGGACGACAGCAGAGAUUUCAAUAUUGAAUGGUAAAUAUGAAUGAAAAAAACCCAUACAAGUAUUUGUCUGACUGUUAUGGCAUUAUUGCAUAUUUGUUAAUGUCAGUUUUACAUUUAGAGUGGUAGGGGGACAACUGAAAGCUAUCUAUAAGUAUUACUUAGAUACGUUUUUAAGUUUGAGGGAAAGCUUCACGUUCGUGUUGGCAUACUGGCUUAACCUUAACUUUUACCCUACAUCUGUAUUGAAAUCAAAGUAUUCAAGAUGUUUUACCAUGAUCAUUUUAAGAUAUGAGCCACACAAAGUAUCAAAUAUAUUAAAGAAUAACAACUCAUUACGCUUGGAUGAAUGAAAUAGUAUUUUUUUUUUAUUAAACAAUUAGUGUGACACGAACAAGUGAGUGCGAUUGUGUGAACAGAUUCAACAAUGGACACAGCAGGGAACACUAUAUACUUAGGGCAAACCAUUAACAUAUAACGUUGCAAAUAUACUAUACUUUAUGCCAUUACAAUACUUAUAAUAGCCCUGAGCAAAUUCAAAAUUGGUUUAGAUCAAUGGUUAUACCAUGGUUGGCUGGGCAGCGUUUGGAUGCUCCAAUCAGUCCGAGAAGGGUUACCACAUGUAUGGCUUCCCCAAGGACCAAGAGCGCAGGAAGAAAUGGAUGGCAAUGGUCAGCCGUCAAAACUUACAAGUGACAGGGGUCAGCAACAGUCAAAAACGAUGUAAUGUACACUUUGAACUGAUUCACUGCCACAAAAAGAGAAGGGAUGUUGAAGCUGAGGCCCGAUGCAGUACCAACAGUUUUCAUUCAUCGCCCUAAGCCGAAGAGGAGGAAACCCCCUUCUGUGAGGGUGCCUCCAGAACCAAGUGCAACGGACCACACAUAUUUCACCAAAUUAAACUUCGGUAUGAUCCAUGCAGCUAACAAUAUUCCCCAUUUCAUGUAAUUCAAGGAUAGACUACACUCCUAAUGAGAUUGCAUAAUUCAUUUUUGUACAUUCAGUUUAAGAAACAACCAGAGGUCAGGGAUUCUCUGAGGAUUUGCACACAAUGUGGAUAAUCGACACAUUUCUACCCAAUUAACAAUUGCCGGUAGAUCCAUUUAUACAUUUUAUUGGUUUCUGAUUGUGGCAGAUGAUUUAAUUCACAUCACAGAAAUGAUUCGCUUUAAUUAAUUUUCUUACAUUGGAGAUGACAGUAGUUGCAAAUGCAAAGGCAAAAUACAUAUAACAGCAACAUUACCUUGUAAUUAUUACAGAGAUUGAGGGAGAAAUUGAGGUGGAUUUCAAGAGCGAUGAAAAGGACAUGACAGGAGACAGCGAGAGCAAUCAAGUGGGCCACUUUGCCAGGGGCAGGUGAUUCAGGGGCAGGUGAUCCAGGGGCAGCUGCUCCAGGGACCAGACUGCCAGGGACUGAUGGGGCGACUAUGGAGGACCUAAUAAGGCAACUAGAAAAGGAAAAAUUAAUGAGAAGGAGAGCAGAGAGGGCUCUUGUAAAACAAAAAAGAAUACAUUUGGCAACAAGAAAGAGAAACAAUUCAGUCAACAAGAAGUUACAACGAAAAAGCCAUACAGGUUAAAUUCACCG